AGGGUUUGAUUAUGGCUCAGGACGAACGCUGGCGGCGUGCCUAACACAUGCAAGUCGAACGAAGCUCGAAGCUCUGAGAUUUCGGUCAAGGAGCCUAGAUGACUUAGUGGCGAACGGGUGAGUAAUGCGUGAGCAACCUGCCUUUCAGAGGGGGACAACAGUUGGAAACGACUGCUAAUACCGCAUGACACAUAGAGAUCGCAUGGUUUUUAUGUCAAAGAUUUAUCGCUGAAAGAUGGCCUCGCGUCUGAUUAGCUAGUUGGUGAGGUAACGGCCCACCAAGGCGACGAUCAGUAGCCGGACUGAGAGGUUGACCGGCCACAUUGGGACUGAGAUACGGCCCAG
rnacentral:rRNA from 1 species